rnacentral:sRNA from 2 species
GAAUUCGUCGACCGGGAGUGGCAGGACUUGUUCCUGAAGUUCUUAAGUUAGCUUAGCUAGCUUAUCAGUUGGCGUGCUGCUCAAAAGCCCCCCGGCGGGAGAGGUGCCAACCGCCCCAUUAGGUCCUCAGAUCAUGCCAGCGGCCAAGAAAAUAAAUGACGGCUGAGCCCAGCGCCGUCCGUGCCGCGCCUAUGUUCCUUGCGGUGUUCUCGAAAAGUCUGAAAUCUUACUCCUCUAGCGCCUAAAAUAGCGGAGACCGGGGUUGUAAUUAUACCGCAACCCUGAAAUAACACUCUUGAGUUCACCUCUAUGAGGACGCAACUAAGCGAAACAAGUAACGGCA